UGCGGAGGCGGGAAGGCGGGGACGGCUGUCUUUGUGGCUGCGGUUCCCGAGGAGCAGCCGGGGAUGGUUCGUCCGCUUUCCGUGUUCUGGCAGCGCCGUCUCCUGGAUUUAUGAGUCCUUUGGGCUGAGGCUGUUUAUUUUUUGUGGUGUUCAGCAAUGUGAGCACCCUUAGCGCUGUGCAAAGCCCUCAUGUGCUGUUUAGUUGGGUUUCUCAGGCUGUCCUGGCAGUUACCUGUCAGAACAAAGUGCCCCUAAAAUCCUUUCCCAACCCACCCGGUCCUGUGCUUCUGCACGUGGAACAGACCCCGCUUAUUUUCAGAAGCGGUUUUGCUGAGGCUUUGCAGCCCCGUGUGCCCCUGUGCUGACGGCCAGGCCUGCUUUCUCCUGCAGCCUCAUUGAGUUUCGUAGGGCAGAUCCGAUCUAUCAGAACUGGGCCUUAAUCAGUCAGUGGUGCAGCUCCGUGAGCCGUCGCUGUGCCAGCUGUCCUGCAGAGUCUCCCUCAGUCGUUACCUGGGAAGGGGCAGAGACCCGUGCAGCCUCCUUGUCUCUCCUAUCUCACACAUUAAUUGUUGUCUCUCUGCUCCGUGCUGCCGUUUGUAAGAACGUGCCACUAAAGAAUCUGUUCUGCUUAUUCAGCAAGAGUUCUCAUCGGCAGCAAUUCAUGAGCUGCUUUAGAGCGGGUCAGUGCUGCUUUACCAGUGCCGGUGGUGCAGAACUUUGAGCCGAGGUCUGCUGGUGUCACUGCAGCUUUGUUUUGUGCUGCAAUGCCCGUCUCCAUUCCCUUCUGCAAUAGGAGAGCUUGAGUACCUGAGGGGACCGCUCUGCAGUGCCACGAGGUGCAGAGCUGCGGGUCAGACGUUGGGCCUCCUUGUCCCGCCCUGCCGGCGAUGUGUGCUCUGCAGUGUGAAGAUGGAAGAUUAGCAUACUUUAACUUAUGAAGGAAAAAAAGAAGAAUCUGCAUGAUUGAGAGAAGCAGUGAAAAUAGCUGCAGUGCUGCAGACCCUAGAAGGGUGGAAAUCCCUUUUCCCAAGCACAGCUUUCACUCAGAAACCAGCACUAGGAGUAAGAAGUGGGCGUUUACAUCAUUGUUCUUAAGGCAUCUAUCAGUGUCUACAGCAAGAUCCCAUCUGAUAAAGGAGUUUAUUCCAUGAACAGAAAGGGAGACAAUAGCCUGAUCUUCCCCCUCUUCGUGUACCAGCAAGACUUCAGGAUGGCAGUCUUUGAUGAGAUUCUGAAACAUCAAAUCAGGAAAUGAUGGGAAUAAGCUGAUUUCUUCCUGAGCUAACACUGAGAGCAGCAUUGCAUGUCUGAUGGAGAACAGCAAACAAGUGAGAGAGCUUGUUUUCUGGAGAACGUUCACUUCACCGUCCUGAGCAUGAGUGGCUUCUACUGGCAGUGCUGCCAAAGAGCUGCGCAUCAGUAAUUCUUUGACAUGCAGAAUUACAGCUUUCCAGCGCCAGCUCAAACACCGAGGAAUCCCUGCCACCAUAAAGCUAUAAUUGCUGAAUUAAUAACAGCGGGUUCUGGAGAGUGACUGCACAGACUCUCUGACCCAGGUAAUAGAAACACUCAUGUUAAAGCGAAGUUGAUACAUUUGACUUAAUCUAUGCAAUAUCAGUCUCUAGUAGUAAAGAUCACUGCUUUUCCAUCCCGUAAGAAAGCUGUGGUGAGGUGGUACCCUUCUGCUUUAGCUUGAGCUACCUGCAUCUGUUAGCCCCCGUGAACUAGAAAUUACAUUUUCAGGGAUCAGUCAGAUUGCAUUUCUUUCUACCAGGGGAUUUGUUACCCCAGUCUGUCUGCCUAGAACUGCUGGGAGGUGAGUUCCCAUCCAGCUGCAGAGGGGUGGGGAACAGGAUGUCGAGGGAGAUGGUGAAAGGCUUCUGCUAACACCUCAUUGCUCCAGAAUGUAUUAACAACUAAAAAAAACAAUCCCUCCCCCUCUCUUCUAACUCAGGAAGAAAUUCUGCAGUUGCUGCUUUGCCAAAUUCUGUGCCUUGUGGCCCCCACAGAUAUGAUGCUCCUCAAAACUGGGAUAAAAGGAUGCUGUUUAAACAGGAUAAUAGGAAUUUAACCAAAAUGACUUGAUCUGAAUGAGGAGUCAUUUUUCUUUAUUUUUAUAGUUUAUUUUUAAAUAAGAAUGUCCCUAGGUAUUAGAAGGGCUUGGUAAUCCAUUUACCAUGACUUCCUUAGGUUUGGUCCUUGAAUGGGACCUGUGCUACUCUACGUUUAUCUGAGUAGGAUUUGUGAUUCUUGGUAACCUUUGUAGGCUGACUCAAGUCAUUAGGGACAAAUUGUCCAUGUCAAUGGAUCUGAUUGUAUCAUGGAAUUGAUGUAGUGCACAGCUACUCAUGUUGUAAAGUGCAGCUGCAGCAAAAGCCAAAGUGUGUGACCACUGAGAUGUUGGACUUCUCUAAGCUCAGGGCAAUGUCCUGUGCUGGGGCUCUUAGCAGCAGCCUCCCCAAGGUUGUGUAUACAUUGUGGAUAAAAAGAAUUGGCAGUUUUCAGGGCUGGCAAUCUGGUUCUUUUUCUAAGAGUUAUCACCAUUAAUUAAAAUCUCUUUUUUUUUUUUUUUUUUUCUGUCUAAGUAUUUCAGCUCUAAUUCUCUUGCAGGUUCAUAAAUAGUAACAUCCCUUUGUCCCGGAACAAGUUCCUAUCUUUUGUUUCUCUUUGUCAUUCCCCUCAAUCUCUGUCCUCUUGAGGCUGAAGGUAAGUAAAAUUCCUGCUAUGAUGUUGUGGUUGUGGGCCUGUUCCUUUGUUCCUUUGGUCGCCCCGUCACCCCAUCCCUGCUUUGGUAUCCACAGUCCUACCUGGAACAGCAUAACGAUGACCCACAUGGUUCUGUUUCACUUGGCCUGUGCUUUUCCCCUCUGUGCAUAGUUUCCCUUUGGACUUCCUUAGCAGAUCCUCUGCAGCAAGCAGGUGUUUCUCCACUUUUCCAGUCUGUGAACUUGAAGUUAAAUUCAAAAAUAAUUCAUCAUUUUAUAAAUAAGUUAUAUAAGCUGUCACCACAAAUCUGUCACUGCACAGACAGGUGCCAACAUGCACCGUAUGCAAGACGGUAACAACACCAGGAUUGGAAUAAAGGAUGUCUAAAAGCAAUUAGAUUUCCAGAUAUUAGGCAAACACAAUUAUUUAAACUGCUAGUCAAAACCAGUUGAUAAAAUAGAUAAUUAAAAAAGAUUGACCCAAAAGCUGAUGUUAAAUUAUUCUGUAAUGUGCACAUAACUCAAAUAAUUGCUCUGUCAUAACCCAGCCUCUAUUAAAGGGAAAUUUUACCUAGGAAAAAAAUUACAUAUUCAGUACACGGUGAUUAAAAUAAAUAUACAUUCUCUCAAAUGCUGGAGAUGAUGUGAGAAACUGUAUUAAAAAGUGGGAAUGAAUUCGGCCUGCAUUGCAAACAGUAGCGUGGUCUGUCAUUGUAAUAAAUCAUACUCAAUAGGCAUUGAAACAGAAAGUAUGACACUGCAGUAAAUCCAAAUCAGCCUCAGACCACAGUAGUGGUAGGUGACCUGUUGUGUGUGGGUAUAGAACUAAGCGGGACAGGAUGGAGUCCUGAGGAAGGAGCUAUUUUAGUAGUUCAAUUUAGACAUUAAAGUCUUGGGAUAGGACAUCAAAACCCCUAAUCUGGAGUUUGAAUCCAAUAUUUAAUACAGUUUACACCCACUUCAUCUAUGCAUGAGUUUCCACCUAAAACAAUAUCCAAGCUCCUUUUGACACCUAAUGAAGGGACAAAUCAGUUGUUCUUCAGACCUCAUUUUUUGUGCUGCUUACCUGGUGGUGAUGCAGGACUGACUUCAGUACUCGCACUGUCAAAAGCGGGAUCAGCCCAAUGUGCUUUAGCUGGGGGGGACACACAGGGAUGCUCUCCUUAGUGCAUCUGUCUGUAUGAAGCUGUCCUGUGCUCUCAUCUUUGAAACAGCAGACUUGAGAAACAUGAAGACUUCAUCUAUGAGCGCACAGCAUUACUCCAUAAAUGGUAUGGGAACUGAUUAACCCAUCAAUCUCUAUUAUUCAACUACUGCAAAUGAGACACGUGCUCCCUUGGGGAUUUACCUGGAGUAAAAUCAAGAAGAAAAUGCUUUCUCCCUUCCCAGCUUGAAAGUUCAAAAUUUGUUUGGACCGGUGAUGCUGCAAAUAAAUAAAAGAAAGAAUGACCUGAAUUACUUGAGCAAUCCCCUGGGACUGAGGCAGGAAGCGUUUGAAACAUGAAAAGUUGCACCCGUGUUCAAACGAGAGAGGCCCUAGUUAAUUAUUUACAGCAGCUGAAAGCUCAUCAAAAAUUUAACCAAGAUUUAUUUCUCUGUGACUCUGCAGGCACCACAAUGUGCAGCAGUGGAGGCUUCAGCUGCCUUCAGUGAAGCUCCUGAGUUUUCACCUCCCAGCUUGUCGGUGCUGGCUCAGUGCUUGCAGUGAAUCCUUUCCUCCUAUCUGUCAGCGAUGCACACUAGUAGGGUGGAUUCCAAUUGCACGCAAAUAAAUAGCAUGCAGCAUCUGAACUGCUGCUGGGAGGCUCUGUGGUGGCCCUCAACAGCCUUCAGCUGUGGCAAUGCUGUGACCCGUCACUGUCAGUAGAUGAUAUCAAAUACAAACCUACCUGCGGCUUAGCUCUGCUCCUCUCCCAUCUACAGGUAAUGGGCCCUUCCAUUUUGUGCGCACUGACUGAGUGAAGGCUGGGCCAUUGCCCCUUUGCUUUGAAGUCCACUGCAUUUGUGAUUUUUCUUUGAUCAUCGCUGUGGAAAAGCCUGAAAUGUUUUUCUCAGCAGUUUGUAUGCACACAAGCAUGAGAGCUGAGAACCUCAGUCAAGGUGAAACUUCUGAACUUAUCUUGAUUUUGUUAACAUUAAAUUAAUAUUAAGUAGGACCAAGUUAUGUUUUGCCUUGAGACUGAGGAGGCAACAAUACUGUUCUACUACUAUCCAUGUAUUCGAUAUAUCAAAUGAUAGCAAAAGAGCUUCACCAGCGAGAGGAACAGGACCUAUAAAUGACAGUUAGUACCUUAGGAUUCCUGAAGCUUGAGCUUCCUGCAGAGGUUUCCAUGAUGGCACUUCAUGACCAAUAUCUCAUAAGGUCCCUGAAAAAGAAAAGAAAGAAGUCAGGUAUUUUCUCACCAUCUCGCUAGAGGUAUCUAGAGAAAGGAACUGUACAAGGCUUUCAUUAGCAGCUGAAGUAUUACUGUAUAUUUGGAUCCAUUUGCUCAGUUCGUGAUAUAAUGGAGCACAACUGAUGUAAGUUGGCUCGAUGCGACCCCUUGUUACACAUACUGGAACAAUAUCUGCAGAAGCAUUUGAAAUUACACAUUUUUUCAGACAUCUAUUUUAAGGAUCAGUGACUUCAAACAAGCGGUGCAUUUGGGCAUAUUUUAAAGGCUUAUUUCCUGCAAUCAUGUGCAGGUCAUGGCUUAAUCCUCAUCAGAAAGAAGGCAUUUGGGAUUCUGAUUACUGCAGGGAGCAGUGAAAGAAGGAUACGCAUAGAAAGAACAGCAGCAGAGUUUUGAGACAGAGCCCGGGCUCUGACCAGUAAACCUUUGAUGAGAACUUCUGAGGGAGGUGUUUUUUUUCCUUUGUAUUUUCUUUAACAUUUGAACGCAGCAACAGAAGAGGUGGGACAAAACGGAGUCUCUGAAGCGUUGGUUAGGUGAUGUUCUGGCACUGCAGUGAUGUGGGCACAGACCUGGAAAGAGCCAGCUGUCCUGGCAGGGAGCAGGCAGCCAACAGGAGGAGCAGCCGAAUCUAUUUCUUACUGUCACAGUACUUUGAAAAGUACUUUUCACACCGCUUUUAGAAACUAAAGUUUGUAAUGGCCAGGCAAGACUCUGAUUUAUUAUAAGAGAGAAGGAGCAGGGCAGCUUUGCUUGGCCAGAUGCAUAGCUGCUCUCAAGUGAGGGCUGGAGAAAGGCAGAGCGAAGUGUGACAGCUUUCCACAACAGAUAAGAGCUGGAUUCCAGCCCACUUCAAGCUAGGUAAGCAAAUAAUUACCCGUGAAUAAAUUAGGAAGAAAAAUGCUAAAUAUCCUUAUUAAUAGAGACCAUAUGCUUUUGGCAACUUCUUACCAGAAGGCUUUUAAAAGUAUGCAGUGACAUCCUAGAGUUCCCAGUCACGUUUCCUACACGCUGCUGACACACUCGCCUCAGAGAGGACAGAAUACUGAUUUAGUGUGUAUUUUAAAACCCUACAGCCUUACCAUCUGUGACUGCACGGGCAGAGCCUGUUUCUUCACCUCAAGCAUCCAAAAAUCAGACUGUAACUGUCUUCCCCUCCCACAGGUUUGUCUGAUGUCCCGAGUGCUGCCCGGGUGUUCCAUCGGCACCAACAGAGGCUGACUGAUGGGCUCCAGUUCAGACAUACGAAGGGUGGCAAGCAGAGGCAGCGUUCUGAGACCGCAAGUCCCUCAGAACUGGAUGUCCUCAUCCCCAGGGCUGUCAGCCACACCAUGUCCUGUCCCUGCCGGCUGCACAGCAACAGUGGCGACACGGCUGCAUUGCUGGGGAGAUGGAAGCCCAACGUGUGUCAUCUCUGAGGCUGCUCGAGUUCCUCUUCAGCGCUUCGCAGGGGAAGACCAGAGAAAUAAUAAGGCUUUGUAUGAGUGAUAAGACUGUAUCGUGAUGGCUGUUCGCUUCCUAACAGAUGGGACAGAGAUGCAGGUAGGGUGGAGGGGCCACAAAGGCAACUGAUGGAGAAGUUUCUUUGGAGUCUGCUGUUCUUUUUUGCUUCAUUUAUAUUUCAUUAGGCAUGAAAUUACGUUUAUAAUUGUAUUAGACAACUGUGUGAGAUAUUAGAUCAUAAGCCUAGACUGAAUUAAAGCCAUUUUUAAUUAGUUA